GCUCAGUAACACGUGGAUAACCUGCCCUAAGGAAGGGGAUAACCCCGGGAAAACUGGGGAUAAUACCCUAUAGACUACAGAUGCUGGAAUGCUCUGUAAUCGAAAGUUCCGACGCCUUAGGAUGGAUCUGCGGCCGAUUAGGUUGUUGUCGGGGUAAUGGCCCAACAAGCCAGUGAUCGGUACGGGUUGUGGGAGCAAGAGCCCGGAGUUGGAUUCUGAGACACGAAUCCAGGCCCUACGGGGCGCAGCAGGCGCGAAAACUUUACAAUGCGGGCAACCGUGAUAAGGGAACCUCGAGUGCCUGUAUAUGCAGGCUGUCCAGGUGUCUAAAACACACCUGAAGAAAGGGCCGGGCAAGACCGGUGCCAGCCGCCGCGGUAAUACCGGCGGCUCGAGUGGUGGCCACUUUUAUUGGGCUUAAAGCGUUCGUAGCUGGGUUGUUAAGUCUCUUGGGAAAUCUGGCGGCUUAACCGUCAGGCGUCUAAGGGAUACUGGCAAUCUUGGAACCGGGAGAGGUGAGGGGUACUUCGGGGGGUAGGAGUGAAAUCCUGUAAUCCUCGAGGGACCACCUGUGGCGAAGGCGCCUCACCAGAACGGCUUCGACAGUGAGGGACGAAAGCUGGGGGAGCAAACCGGAUUAGAUACCCGGGUAGUCCCAGCUGUAAACGAUGCGCGUUAGGUGUAUCGGUGACCACGAGUCACCGAGGUGCCGAAGGGAAACCGUGAAACGUGCCGCCUGGGAAGUACGUCGCAGGUGA
rnacentral:rRNA from 1 species